rnacentral:rRNA from 1 species
UCGAAUGAGAGUUUGAUCCUGGCUCAGGACGAACGCUGGCGGCGUGCCUAAUACAUGCAAGUGGAACGCACAGUUUGUCGAUUAACGUGUUAAUGGACAGAUUAGUGAGUCGCGAACGGGUGAGUAACGCGUAGGUAACCUUUCUCUCAGCGGGGGAUAACUAUUGGAAACGAUAGCUAAUACCGCAUAAGAUUUUUUAACGCCUGUUAGAAGAUUAAAAGGAGCACUAGCAUCACUGAGAGGUGGACCUGCGUUGUAUUAGCUAGUUGGUAGGGUAGAGGCCUACCAAGGCGAUGAUACAUAGCCGGCCUGAGAGGGUGAACGGCCACACUGGGACUGAGACACGGCCCAGACUCCUACGGGAGGCAGCAGUAGGGAAUCUUCGGCAAUGGGGGGAACCCUGACCGAGCAACGCCGCGUGAGUGAAGAAGGAAUUCGUUUCGUAAAGCUCUGUUGUAUGAGAAGAACGGGUGUGAGAGUGGAAAGUUCACACUGUGACGGUAUCAUACGAGGAAGGGACGGCUAACUACGUGCCAGCAGCCGCGGUAAUACGUAGGUCCCGAGCGUUGUCCGGAUUUAUUGGGCGUAAAGGGAGCGCAGGCGGUUUCGUAAGUCAGAAGUCAAAGGCAUUGGCUUAACCAAUGUAUGCUUUUGAAACUGCGGGACUUGAGUACAGAAGGGGAGAGUGGAAUUCCAUGUGUAGCGGUGAAAUGCGUAGAUAUAUGGAGGAACACCGGCGGCGAAAGCGGCUCUCUGGUCUGUUACUGACGCUGAGGCUCGAAAGCGUGGGGAGCAAACAGGAUUAGAUACCCUGGUAGUCCACGCCGUAAACGCUGAGUGCUAGGUGUUAGGCCCUAUCCGGGGCUUAGUGCCGGAGCUAACGCAAUAAGCACUCCGCCUGGGGAGUACGACCGCAAGGUUGAAACUCAAAGGAAUUGACGGGGGCCCGCACAAGCGGUGGAGCAUGUGGUUUAAUUCGAAGCAACGCGAAGAACCUUACCAGGUCUUGACAUCCCUCUGACAGGACUAGAGAUAGUUUUUUCUUUCGGGACAGAGGAGACAGGUGGUGCAUGGUUGUCGUCAGCUCGUGUCGUGAGAUGUUGGGUUAAGUCCCGCAACGAGCGCAACCCUUAUGGUUAGUUACCAUCAUUAAGUUGGGGACUCUAGCCAGACUGCCGGUAAUAAACCGGAGGAAGGUGGGGAUGACGUCAAAUCAUCAUGCCCCUUAUGACCUGGGCUACACACGUGCUACAAUGGUUGGUACAACGAGUUGCGAGUCGGUGACGGCCAGCUAAUCUCUGAAAGCCAAUCUCAGUUCGGAUUGGAGGCUGCAACUCGCCUCCAUGAAGUCGGAAUCGCUAGUAAUCGCGGAUCAGCACGCCGCGGUGAAUACGUUCCCGGGCCUUGUACACACCGCCCGUCACACCACGAGAGUUUGUAACACCCGAAGUCGGUGAGGUAACCUAAUGGAGCCAGCCGCCGAAGGUGGGAUAGAUGAUUGGGGUGAAGUCGUAACAAGGUAGCCGUAUCGGAAGGUGCGGCUGGAUCACCUCCUUU